rnacentral:sRNA from 1 species
UUUGUUAAAUUUGAAAGUGAUUAAAGAGUAAAUCAUUAUUUGAUUAUACUAGUGAGUUUAGAACAAAAAUAUUAAGUACAUUUCUUUUACUUUCUAUAAAUUACCUAAUAUUACAUAUCUACGAAUUAUCUCAUAUGAAAAUAUGCUUUAGAUCUCCAAAAUCUUAGGACCAAUCCUGUACAUAUAUAAUCUUGUGUCAGCCCAGUACAUAUAUAAUCUUAUGAAUACAAAGACUCAUCGUUAACGCUGAAUUACAUAUCUCCUUCGUACCAUUCCUUCAGGUCUUCCAUGGCUUCCGAAUCAACAUGGACUCCAGCUGACUUCGGAAGGUUCGAGAUUAUGCUAUCAUUGUCAACACCAGACAAAGUAGACUUUGGAUACAUUGCCAAGUAUCUGGGAAAGCCUGUAGAAGAGGUCGUAAACCAAUACAACGAGCUCUUGAGCUCGAAUGAUCCGACGAUGCAAAGGUAAGAGAUUAUUUCUUGUUCUUGGGUUAUUUUUGCUAAUUUCUUGACCAAUCUAAAUGAAAUAUGAAUAUGAAUGAUCCAAAAAAGGCGAAAAAUGUUUUUUCAAAUAUGUAAAAGUGUAUGUAUAUUGGUUUUCUGUACCAAAACUGUCUUAUGGUAUGCUUUUUAGUACUUCUCCGGUUAUUGAGGUUUUGGUAUUGCUACUACAUGGACAAAUAACUUUAUAUAGUCAGUUGCAAUCUAACAUGAUUACUCGAAGCCAAUUUGCAAAUACGAAAGAAAAAACAAAGUUACAACAAAACUGACGACAAACCACUGAACUAUAAACUCUUUUCACGGAUUUAUUAGCACCAAAUUACCUGAUCUUAUCGUCGACGGAUGAUAAGAAAAUGAAUAAUUAUACUACAAAUUUUACUACAGAUCUCUAAAUAUAUACUCCAUAAAAUGUAUAAUCACUAGAUAUUUAUACAAAAGACAAAAUUACUUCAC